rnacentral:lncRNA from 1 species
GCACACAGAUGGAGGCCCCCAACCAUAUGUCUAAAUAUUAAAAAGUCAUAACUCACACUAAUGAGCUGUUAAAUAAAAUAGGUUUCUCUGCCUAUCUGGACACACAUUAUCUCCAUAAUGACCUGAAGGAAGGCUCCUAUUCAAAAUUGUCAGCUCCUUGGAAUUUUGCACCAGAGAGAGAGAGAACAUCUUACCCCAUUCCUGACUCCAUCCCAGGCCCAGCCGACACCUUAGUGCACGCGCACCCAAGCUCUGAACAGAGCCCCUGUAAGUAGCUGGCCUGGGGUGUGCGUACUGACCCUUGUUCGCCUUUAGGGGGAAUGACCUGGGGAGGGGGUGGUAGGGAGGGCUCAGACCCCCUGAGAUUCAGCUCUGCGGGGAGGAUGAGUCCUUCGGGGGAACCUUGCCCUGAACCCCUGCCCCCACCCAGACUGAAUGUUUCUUACCCUGGACUCCCGGAGCCCCGGGUUUUCUUGGUCAGAGAGAGGAGCCUACAAUGGCUGGUCUCAGCAACUAGGUCUCAUUCCUUUAGCAUGGGGACUUCUGUAAACCAGGCCCCCAGAAAUGUUGGUGGAAGGAAAAAGAUUCAUGCAAGAAAUACAAGAUGAGGUUAAGAGAAAGCGUCUGUCGGGCUUACCUCCUCUGAGAAUUGGUUUCCAUCCUCUCUGCAGCCUCUCUCCUUGCCGGGCAGGGUAAUCUCAGGCCCUCCUUAGUGGCCCCGAGGAUGGCUCUACUCUCCAUCUCUUUUCAGCCCAGCUGCCUGAACAUCUCUUCCCAGCUUCACCUCGGAAAAGAGAAGCCAAACCCCAGCGGCUUCUUCAGAUCCCCCUUUCUGCCCACCCCAGGUCCAAAACCUCUGCAAGUCUGGGGUCUGGGCUUACCUUCAGAAUGUUUCUCCAGUCGGCUGAGUCUCUCCCACUCUGGUGCGGCUGUCCCUCUGCACCAAGCCGCCAGCCUCAUGACCCGGAUGACCUCAGAAGAUGCCUGCUGGUCCCCCUGCCCUAAGUCAUUCCUUGACACCACCCGAGGAGGAGGUAUGAAACUCCCUUUAGAGGCUUCUUAGGAUGAAAUCCAACCCCUCCCCCCACCAUGACAUCGGCCUAUGCCUGUCUCUUCCCCAGCUGUCCUGUCAUCCUGGGCUUUGCACCCUGAACUCUGUUCACACUGAGUGUUCAGCUCCCAGAACAGGCCAAAUGCCUUCCUGCCUCUGGGCUUCUGUACUUACUCUUCCCUCUGCCUAGAGUCCUUUUCCCUAGUUCUCCGAGUGUCUCAGGUACCUCCUCAAUUUUAGGUCUCAGUUUUCCUGACCUCCUUAUUAUUAAUAUUAUUACUUUCAUCCUGUUGUUCUUCAUCAUGGACUCCUGCCCAUUCUUUCAUGGUAUUUCAUAGAAAUUCAUAAUUUGUGAUUAUGUAUUUAUUAAUGUUUCUGUAUGUCUUAUUUUUUCCCCCUUUUCACCGGACAGUAUGUUCUGGGAGGGAAGGGACCAUGUCUGUUUGUUUUUUUUUUUUUUUUUUAUUACCUAGCCCAGAUUAGCACCUGAUAUAUAUGUAUUGAAUGGAUGGACUGAAUUUUGUUUCACUUAGUUGUCUAACAGAGGGCUGUAGCUGUUAGUCUACUGCACUGUCUUCUGUUCAGACCCAUUUGAGUCUUUCCUACUCCGUUUUCUUCUGGUGAACCCUAUUCUACCCUGUUCUAGUCUGUUCUACCUUGUUCCAGUCUGUUCUGACCUCAUCUGUUCCGUCCUGGUUGAUUCUGUUCCAGCCUGUCCUGGUCUAGUUCUAACUGUCUUGUCUCCAUCCUCUUUUAUUCUGUUCCAUGCUGUUCUAGUCUAUUCUGUCCCCC